CCAGCCUUUCUCCCUACACCCUACACUUCCCUUAGUUCCAGUUGUAGUUGUAUGGAAGGUUCUGGGAGUCAAAGGGUAGUGAGUUUGGCAGUAAGGAAAGGACGUGAAGCUCCUGUCCUUUCUGACUCCAUGUGUUCCUGUAAAUCCUGUUAUGCCUAUUUCCCAGGAUCUUACGCUUUUUUCCAGAUUGUUGAGGACUAAGAUCUGGGCAGUGGCCUUCUGGGAAUAAAGACUUUCCAGAGACAUUUCAAUGGGUUAAUUCCAUUUUUCCCACAGUUAGGACUUAGAAACAGGCACAUAGAAGUCAGUCUUUUGUUUUCAAUGGUUUACUUCCCCUCCCCUUCUUGGGCAUAUUUAUUUAUUUUGGGGUUUCCCAUGUAUUUCAUUCAUUCUUUCAGGAAUUAUUCAAUAUCAACUGGUGCUAGAAUCCUGAGAACAAGAAACAUUGACCUGUCUUCACAAAGCUUAUAGUUUAGUUGGAAAGACAGGCAAUUAAAUGAGCAAUGUAAUGAAGUGUGAUUUAUUGCUAUAUCAACAUGAUUAAAGGAAGUUUUAAAUAGAGCAUGUUUCUCUCAUAAUUUUACCAUAGCAAUAAAGCAGCUGCUUUCAUACUUUUCUGUAUUUUCUUUCAAUAUUUGUCCAUAUGCAAACAUUUUUAUAUAAUUGUGAUUGUUUUCUAGUUAUAAUUUCUUGUUUUUCCACUUCUAGAUAAUUUUUACAUAUUGUUACAGUCUUAAUACUUAUAUUUUCAUAGGUGUUGUACUAUGAUUUCUUCAAUUAUUUCUACUAGACAGCUGUGUUGACUUAUAAUUUUUUACCAUUAAUACAUAGUAAAACCAGAGGCAUUCUCAAUUUUCAGGAAAGGAACUACUUGAUUAAAGAUAUGAUGAUAUAUUUAGCUUUUGAUAGAUAUUGCUAUACUGCUUCCUACAAAAGAUUUUCCCAGUUUGAAGUUUAUCAACCAUUUUUACCUCACUUUCUAGCACACAGUAUUAGUAUCUUUUCAAGUAUUAAUAUAAUAGGUAUAAAAGCCAUAUUUGACUAUUUUAAUAUAUAUUUCUAUGAGUACAGUGAGGUUGAAUGUUUUCCCUAAUGUUUAUUUAUAAAUAUAUGUGAAAAAAUUGUCUUUUGGUAAUUGUCUUGUAGAUUUGCUUACUUGGUGGUUUGAUUUUGAAUGAAACGUUCAUUGUUAGUGAACAAAAAUAGAUGACAGUGAAUAGAAUGUCUUCUUGGUAAUUUGCUCUAACUUGGCAAAAAACUCCUUUGAUUGUGGAGUUAAGAAUCGGAUUCUUGGAGCUAGAGUUAGUACUAUGUGUUGGACUGACAACUGUGGGCUCUCUCUCUCUAUGUAUAGGCUGUGAGUGCCUUUAGGGGAAGGACCAUGUUUUAUUCUUUGUCUCAGCAUUUAGCAGCUUGGCUGAUAGUAAGUCUCAAAAAAUCGUUGAAAGAAUAAGGGCACUAAAUAAUCUCCUUCAACUGUCAUUCUUAUGUGUUCAUAUAGAGCCUAAAAUUUCACCAUUUAAUAUUCAUUCUUUGAAGCUUAAAAGACUUACUAGUCUUGGAAGUCUCUAGGAAUUUAUUAAUACCUAUAGGCAGAUGAAUAUGGUAAUCUCAGGCAACAUAUUGGAGAUUAUAACCUCUAUAUGAGAAUAAUACUUUGUAGGGAUGGAACAUAGAAUAGACACCUGGUGGUGGAGGAGUGGAGAUGGGAUGAUAGAGAUGUUCAGGAGACUAUUAGGAAUUUAUCAGAAAUAAACCUCAUGUAUUGCAAAGAAUCCCAGGAAUAUGAGAGCUGGAAAUUAAUCUUUGAGAUUCUCUGAGCCUUGGUAUCCUUGUAUGUAAAUGUGAAUGAGAAUACUUACUUUCCAGGGUUAUUGUGAGACUUGAUUGAAAUCAAUAGGUUAUGAAAACGCUUUGUAAACUCUAAAGUACUGUGUGAAUUAAAAAAAAAAGUCAUUGUUGUCAUCACUAUCAUGUAGGAAACCAAGGAAUAGAGGGAUAAAAUUACUUUUAUUUUUUUCUAGGAGCUAGAUUUAUUCUUCAUAUUUUGCAGUCAAUCUUUAUCAUUUGAAGAUGCAAUUGAAAAAAUCUUUUAUCCUUACCUGAAAACAUGUUCAUUGAUUCUAGACAGAGGAAAUGGGAGGUAAAAAGAGAGAGGAAGAAACAUCGAUUCGAGAGAGAAAUGUGAAUCAGUCACCUCUCAUAAGCACUCAGACCAGGGACCAGAUCCACAACCUAGGCAUGUGCCCUGACUGGGAAUCGAACCCAUGACCUUUUCUGUGUAUGGGACGACACUCCAACCAACUGAGCCACACCGGCCAGGGAGAAAUGUCUAAAGUGUUAUUUUCCCCACAAGGAAAUAGUGAGGAAGGGUAGAGGGUGGGGGUAGAUAGUUUUGGGGAGUGAAUAGAUUCUUUCUGUCCAACUGUUUUUCCUAGAGCAGAAUGAAGCACAACAAAAAGAGGUAGACAAAACAGUACGAGCAUGGCAAAGCAUAGGUCAUAUGUACAGGCUGUAAUUGAUGAUUGAAACUGAGUUAAGAUAGGAAGAAUCAUGAUCUGAUGUUGGAGCAGGAAAUUGGGAUCUGAUAAGGAGAAUUUUUCUUUAUCCUGUAGUCAGUGGUCAGUAGUGAAGGUUUGGAGCAGGGGUGACUCAAUCAGUGCCUUACUGAUUGGUUUAUCUAGAGGCAAUGUAGAAAAUAGGGACGAGGAAGAACUUGUGCAGGCCUGGAGUCCAGUUUAGGGGCAUGUUUUAACUGUAUAUCUCAUUCAUCUAUGAGAUACUGAAGGCUUGUAAUGAAUAGGACCAUGGCAGUGGAGAAGAAAGAAUGGGUACAAGGAUGUCAGAGAGUAUGGUCCUAGGCUAAAGGGGCUCUGGGCCCUUAUGCCAGUCAAUGUAUUCUCUCUCCCAGAGGUUUGUUUUUCCUGUAAACUUUAAAAAAAUCGAAAUAUAAAAGUGCACAAAUAUACAGCAUAGGAGCACCUGCUAAGCUUUUAUAACACCCCUUUAGUCAUUACUUCACAUCCCUCAGUAGGUAACCACUAUUUUUACUUUUUUCACCACAUACUAAUUUUGCCUGGGUUUUGAGCUUUAUUGCAAUAGAAUUAUGCAAUAUUAACUCUUUUGUGUCUAGCUUCUUUUGUUUGACAUGAUGUUUAUGAGAGUCAUCAGUUUUUUGUAUGAAGCAUUAGUUCAUUCCAUUUUAUUGCUCAUUUGUAUUCCAUUGUAUGAAUAUAUCACAAUUUAUCUAUUUUGCUGUUAAUAGAUACUUAAUUAUUCCCAUUUGGAGGCUAUGUGCAGUUCUUGUAUGUCUUUUGAUGCAUAUUAACUUUUGUUUCCUAUCCAGGAAUGGAAUUUGCUGGGUUAUUGUCAGUGUAUGCAACUACUACCAAACAGUUUUAUAGAGUUUUACGGAAUUUAUCAGUUUACACACCCACCAAAAGUGUGUAAGAGUUCCUUAGCAAUAUUUGUGUCUUAGCUCAGGCUGCUAUAACAAAUACCAUAGGCUGGGUGGCUUAAACAACAGAAACGUAUUUCUCAUAGUUCUGGAACCUGGAAGUCCAAGAUAAGGUUGCAUGAUCAAUUUCUGGUGCAAGUCUUCCUGGCUUGAAGAGGCUGCUUUCUUUCUGUAUCCUCAUACAGUGGAGAGAGAGAGCCCUGGUCUCUUCAGCCCUUUGUAAGGGCACCAAACCCAUCAUGGGAGCUCCACCCUUGUGACCUCGUCUAAACCUAAUUACCUCUCAAAGGUCCAUCCUCUAAAUAUCAUCACUUUGGGGAUUAGGGCUUCAACAUAUGGAUUUUGGGGAGGACACAUUUGGUCUAUAGUGAGUUAUAUAAUUAUUCAGUAUUGCAGUACUUUAAAUAUCAAAGGCUUUUAUGUUAUAAGAAACUUAGGGGAGAAAGGAACUACUGGUUAUCAGUUGUCUGCUACAUACCAGAUACUAAAUGCUUUUAUUUAUAUUGUCCCAUUUAAUCAAGAUAAUACUCAUAUAAAGUGUCAGAUCAUUGUUAUUGCAUUGAUUUUAUAGGCCAGAAAACAGAUUCACAGGUUAGUUAGGCAGCUUGUAAUUGCCAUCCAGAAUCUAACCUAGAUCUGCUUGAAUCCAAACCAGGCACAUCAUGUGGAAAUCUGCAGUUUGUCAGUGAUGU